rnacentral:rRNA from 1 species
UGCUGGAGGUAUCAGAAGUGCGAAUGCUGACAUAAGUAACGAUAAAGCGGGUGAAAAGCCCGCUCGCCGGAAGACCAAGGGUUCCUGUCCAACGUUAAUCGGGGCAGGGUGAGUCGACCCCUAAGGCGAGGCCGAAAGGCGUAGUCGAUGGGAAACGGGUUAAUAUUCCCGUACUUGGUGUUACUGCGAAGGGGGGACGGAGAAGGCUAUGUUGGCCGGGCGACGGUUGUCCCGGUUUAAGCGUGUAGGUGUGUGUUCCAGGUAAAUCCGGUUCACUUUAACACUGAGGCGUGACGACGAGGCACUACGGUGCUGAAGCAACAAAUGCCCUGCUUCCAGGAAAAGCCUCUAAGCAUCAGGUAACAUCAAAUCGUACCCCAAACCGACACAGGUGGUCAGGUAGAGAAUACCAAGGCGCUUGAGAGAACUCGGGUGAAGGAACUAGGCAAAAUGGUGCCGUAACUUCGGGAGAAGGCACGCUGACAUGUAGGUGAAGUGAUUUACUCAUGGAGCUGAAGUCAGUCGAAGAUACCAGCUGGCUGCAACUGUUUAUUAAAAACACAGCACUGUGCAAACACGAAAGUGGACGUAUACGGUGUGACGCCUGCCCGGUGCCGGAAGGUUAAUUGAUGGGGUCAGCGCAAGCGAAGCUCCUGAUCGAAGCCCCGGUAAACGGCGGCCGUAACUAUAACGGUCCUAAGGUAGCGAAAUUCCUUGUCGGGUAAGUUCCGACCUGCACGAAUGGCGUAAUGAUGGCCAGGCUGUCUCCACCCGAGACUCAGUGAAAUUGAACUCGCUGUGAAGAUGCAGUGUACCCGCGGCAAGACGGAAAGACCCCGUGAACCUUUACUAUAGCUUGACACUGAACAUUGAGCCUUGAUGUGUAGGAUAGGUGGGAGGCUUUGAAGUGUGGACGCCAGUCUGCAUGGAGCCGACCUUGAA